CGUCCUGCCCGGCCCCCAAGCUCCUGACCCAGGAGGCUGUCCCCCUACCCCACAGGCUCAGCUCACUCACUCCGCCGCUGGCACAAUGCUCUGGGCAAUGGGGCUGUGAGCUCCUGGGGCAGCACAGCUGCUGAGCCCGGCCUGACCCAGUGCUCUCUGCUGCGUGGCGGUGGCGGCAUGACCCGGCUAUGGUGCCACCAGCUACCGGUGCUUCAGGCAGCACGGUCUUUCUCAGGAGAGACGUGCAUUGGGAACUUUUUCAGCCCUGAGGUGAAGGAGGACAUUGGGGUGAAUCCUGAACACAGAUCCUCCUUGCAAAAGAGGAAAAAGAUCUCAGUUAUUCUACUCCUUUCACAGCCUCCCAAUGAAUAACUCCAAGCUCUGCUCUUUUACUCCUCAGCUUUCCACAGCAGCAGCAUCAAAUGGACAUGACUCUUGAAAGUUUCACAACUUCCCAUAUGAUUCUGAAUAGCAGCACUGACCAAAAUCUUGUCAGUCUGCUGCUGCUAUUGUUGCUUGGGAAUGCUAUGACCACCACCACUGCUGGAACCAUCAUCUUUUGACUCCGGAAUUCAAUAUUGCAUCAAUUUAUGCUUGGUUCACUUUGGAAGGAUAUGCUCACAACCACAUGGGCUACACCCUAAUUCUCUUUAAAAUUAAAGCUUAAGUUUUGUAGAAGUUAGUGGCUUAGGUCUUUCUCACACACAAGUGGGCUCCUCCCACUUGACACUAAAGAGCAAGUGCGGUGGAUUUCAAGCAGUGUGUAUAUGUACUACGUUCUUUUUCUGCGCUUCCAUGCUUAUAAAAAGUAGUUUAUUAAAAUGCUGUUAGUUAGUUACUUUCCUUUUAAA